rnacentral:snoRNA from 1 species
AUCCCAUGAUGAGGACAGGCAGCCACGUACUCCUGCAGCUGUUCCCAUCCUUCAGGAAUGGACACGUCCCUUGUCUGCUGGAAACUUGAAAUUCGUCCUCAAAGGGC